GGAAAGGUGCCAGAGUGGUCGAAUGGGCCGCACUCGAAAUGCGGUGUUCUGGAAACGGAACCGUGAGUUCGAAUCUCACCCUUUCCG
rnacentral:tRNA from 1 species